GACGAACGCUGGCGGCGUGCCUAAUACAUGCAAGUAGAACGCUGAAGGAGGAGCUUGCUUCUCUGGAUGAGUUGCGAACGGGUGCGUAACGCGUAGGUAACCUGCCUGGUAGCGGGGGAUAACUAUUGGAAACGAUAGCUAAUACCGCAUAACAGUAGAUGUUGCAUGACAUUUGCUUAAAAGGUGCAAUUGCAUCACUACCAGAUGGACCUGCGUUGUAUUAGCUAGUUGGUGGGGUAACGGCUCACCAAGGCGACGAUACAUAGCCGACCUGAGAGGGUGAUCGGCCACACUGGGACUGAGACACGGCCCAGACUCCUACGGGAGGCAGCAGUAGGGAAUCUUCGGCAAUGGACGGAAGUCUGACCGAGCAACGCCGCGUGAGUGAAGAAGGUUUUCGGAUCGUAAAGCUCUGUUGUAAGAGAAGAACGGGUGUGAGAGUGGAAAGUUCACACUG
rnacentral:rRNA from 1 species